rnacentral:rRNA from 1 species
UACGGGGGGGGCAAGCGUUGUUCGGAAUUACUGGGCGUAAAGGGUUUGUAGGUGGCUUGUUAAGUCAGACGUGAGAUCCCUCAGCUUAACUGGGGAACUGCGUCUGAUACUGGUGAGCUUGAGUACAGGAGAGGAACGCGGAAUUCCAGGUGUAGCGGUGAAAUGCGUAGAUAUCUGGAGGAACACCGGUGGCGAAGGCGGCGUUCUGGACUGCAACUGACACUGAAAAACGAAAGCCAGGGGAGCAAACGGG